GAUGAACGCUAGCUACAGGCUUAACACAUGCAAGUCGAGGGGCAGCAUGAACGUAGCUUGCUAUGUUUGAUGGCGACCGGCGCACGGGAGCGUAACACGUAUCCAAUCUACCAAUGGCACGGGGUUAGCCUUUCGAAAGAAAGAUUAAUACCCGAUGGUCUCGGUUUAAGGCAUCUUAGACUGAGUAAAGAUUUAUCGGCGAUGGAUGAGGGUGCGUCUGAUUAGGUAGAUGGCGGGGUAACGGCCCAUCAUGCCUACGAUCAGUAGGGGUUCGGAGAGGAAGGUCCACAACAUUGGAACUGAGACAAAGUCCAAACUCCUACGGGAGGCAGCAGUGAGGAAUAUUGGUCAUUUUGCGAGUAUCUGAACCAGCCAAGUAGCGUGAAGGAAGUCUGCCAUAUGGGUUGUAAACUUUUUUUGUUUGGGAAUAAAGUUCGGGACGUGUCCCGUUUUGUAUGUACCAUUCGACUAAGCAUCGGCUAAUUCCGUGCCAGCAGCCGCCGCGGUAA
rnacentral:rRNA from 1 species